rnacentral:misc_RNA from 1 species
GAUGAAGAACGUAGCGAAAUGCGAUAAGUAAUGUGAAUUGCAGAAUUCAGUGAAUCAUCGAAUCUUUGAACGCACAUUGCGCCCGCCAGUAUUCUGGCGGGCAUGCCUGUUCGAGCGUCAUUUCAACCCUCAAGCCCCCGGGCUUGGUGUUGGGGAUCGGCGUGCCCUCGCGGCGCGCCGUCCCCUAAAUCUAGUGGCGGUCUCGCUGUAGCUUCCUCUGCGUAGUAGCAACACUCGCACUGGAUCGCAGCGCGGCCACGCCGUUAAACCCCCCACUUCUGAAAGUUUGACCUCGGAUCAGGUAGGAAUACCCGCUGAACUUAAGCAUACAAUAAGCGGAGGA